CCCUUAGAUGUUCUGGGCCGCACGCGCGCUACACUGACGAAGUCAGCGAGCAUGUCCUACGCCGACAGGUGCGGGGAAUCUUGUCAAACUUCGUCGUGAUGGGGAUUGAUUAUUGAAAUUCUUGAUCAUCAACGAGGAAUUCCUAGUAAGCGCAAGUCAGCAGCUUGCGUUGAUUACGUCCCUGCCCUUUGUACACACCGCCCGUCGCUACUACCGAUUGAAUGUUUCGGUGAAGAUUCCGGAUAGGACUUUUUUGAUUUAUUUCAAUUUUGUCUUAAAAGCUAUCUAAACCUCAACAUUUAGAGGAAGGUGAAGUCGUAACA
rnacentral:rRNA from 1 species